rnacentral:lncRNA from 1 species
CAACGCAACAAGGAGGAUUAGUCAACUCACCUCGUUGCCACCAAUGAAACAGCCUCCUACUGGCGUCUAUUCACCGAUCUAAUGCUGAAAACAAGCUCCCUGCUGUCAAAAACCCUUGAGCCAAGCUCCUCAGCCAUUCUUCCUCUGCCGGCAAUACUCUAUAGCCUCGCCGGAGCCGAAAAUUUUCAGCCUCAAUCCAGUGGCUUCCUGUGAGUUUUUAG